ACCCUCAUCAAAACCAAAUUCACAAGGAGAGAGUGAGAGCGUGAGACGACGCGAGAGUACGACGAACCAGUCGCAGCGCAGUAUUGAGUGUUGUUUUUGUUUUCAGUUUUCACCUACGCUCGCGAUCGAAAAGUGUGUGUUGUUUGUGGAAAAGCUAAAUUUUCCGCAGCAAAACUAAUCUCAGUAGGCUUACAACAUUGCGACGGUGGCCUGGCGGUGAUUUAUAGUCAUUAUCCUUCCCCAAAAUGGUGCAGCUCUGGAAUCGAAUUCUUGCAACUGAAUGGAACAUUUCCUGUUAGUUUGCAGUGAAGGCGGCAAGAUAUCUGUGCUAUCCAACAGGAAAUCUGAUAGACGAACGGGAAGUGAUAGAACUAAUUAGGGAAGAAAGUGUCACCAAGUUUCGAAAUAAAUUGCAUGGCCUUCUUGGCUACUGGCACAGCAGAAUGGAGACAAAUGUACGCUGGAAGUCAAGUCUAAGAAUAUCUGCUGACCUGAAGUUUCUAGCAGGGGCGUUGAUGUUUAUUUGCGACAAGAUACAAGGGACAUCUAUAAGACCGGUCAACAGUUUACCAACCAUAACAGCUCCAAAUAUUUUCCGUUUUUUAGCCAGGGUAUCCAUCCCUAGUAGACGGCAUCUCUCUUCGUAAGGAGGCAACUCUAUCCUGUUACGCCAAGGUCAAAACCGGUGGGCCACGUAUGAUUCUCUUUUUCAUAACGGUAGCCCUGUACUUUUCACUGAUCGGUCAAACGGAACCCCAGUCGGCGUCGUCUACCAUUCUGAAAUGCUUACCGAUCGUUAGUUUGUGGAUCUUUGUGCUCCUAACAGGAUUCGAGCUGAAGAAAACCCACCGCUACAAGCAGCUAAUCCUGAUCGGGUUGAUCUUCUCCUGUGGGGGUGAUUUGCUGCUCAACUAUGACCUGUUCGAAGCCGGCAUGGCCUCGUUUGGCGUGGCGCAGAUAUUCUACAUAUCAGCGUUCGGAUUCAGUCCGUUAAGGCCCUGGCUUGGGCUGCCCCUGUACGGUGCCGGCGUGGCCGCUGUGGUACUCCUGUUCGAUCAGCUGCCGCUGAUCAUCAAAAUUUGUCUUCCAAUCUAUGGCGCCCUGCUGCUGACCAUGUGCUGGCGAUCGUGGGCCAGAAUCGAUAGUGUGAAGAAUAUCCUUCGGCUGACUUGCGGAGUGGGCAGUGCGGUGUUCGUCAUUUCCGACAGUAUUAUCGCCUUCGACAAGUUCUAUACUCCGGUGAGUAACGCCAAGAUUGCCAUCAUGGUGACCUACUACGCGGCCCAGUUCGGAAUCGCGCUCAGCGUGCUGGAGCAGACCACCGUCGUCGCUAAGAAAACUGCCAAAACCUCAUCCUCCAGUUCCAAACGGCGCCAAAAUGGUAUGAAAGCUAAGAAAUUGGCCUAAGUGAAACAUAGUACGUACCACCAGCCCUCCCCUUCAGCUUCCGUCGUCUAUUGGGUAGAAUUUACGCUCAUACUGACACAACAACAAAACACACUACACAAAACCUAGACACGAACUCAGUUCUGUUCACCGAAGAACAUACGUAGACUGUGAUUCUAUAUCUUCCCUCGAACUUUGAUGGAUUAACCAACAGCACAAAACAAAAAAAAACAUCGUAAAAUGUUCCCGUUUGAGUAAAAUUACAAUUGUAGACUAUGAGACUGUUGUUAGCUGUUCAGAUACGUUUUUUACCUAUCGGAAAAUACAGUUCAAACGUUCCUCCUCCUA